UUUGAACAGGGAUAACAGUUUUUCCAGGUUCAGAUCCACACUCAGCCUGAAGCUCACUGGGGGAACUUUGAGUGAAUCACUCUCUGCACAGGCUACCUUAUAGGACUGAAGUGAGGCUAAAAGAUCAAGAUAUCACUUGUGACACCAGAAGGGAUUCCUCGGGUCCUGAACUAUGACUGAGGGUAAGUUCUACUCUCCCUGCAAAACAGGACAAAGAAUCGACCACAACAUGCAGAAAAAGGGACAUUCAACUGCAAAGAGGUAAAAUAAAUAUAGCUGAUACGCAGCCACUUUGGGUGCCACAGCAUGGGGAGACAGUUUGUGGAUUCUGCAUUCAUCAAUUUGGGGGAAAUUACAGAAAUGAUCCAGUGAGAGAAUGCCAUAAGGCAGGUCUUCUCAAAUUUAGGUAACCAGAUGUGGGUGGACUUCAGCACCUGUAAUUCAUAGGAGAUUAUUGUGGUUAAAGUGCAAAAUAUUCUGUUGACCCAAGUGAGACGAUCUUUGCCUUAAGAAAUUGAAAUGACUCUGCGUUCAGAUUAAUACAUUAGAUGUUUUAACCAAAAGGAUAAAAAUCCUGAGGUGCCUCUGUUAGAGAAGGACUGGCAUUCCCAGAAUGGAUUGGGAAAGGAUAGGACAACAAUAUAGGAUUGGAUAUAAAAUUCUUUUGAUUGGGCAAGGGGCCAGAAUCUGCAUUGACUAUUGAUGCUAUGUUGGGUUUAAUUAAGUUGCCUCUGAGGAAGAAUAAAAGUACAAAAAAGAUAAGCACAUGUUUUUGUGUGCGACAUUCUGUACAUGAGUAAGGAUAUUAAUGUAUCUUUAGCUUUGACUCCCUCCAACCCGUGAAAAAAACAAAAACAAAAAUUAAGACAAAACCCAAGAAAUGCCGAGCAGUGGGAACCGCAUCUUGAGGUGCCUCUGUUAUGGCAAAAGGGAUAUUCCCACAAUCCUAGACUAGAUUGGGCAAGGUUAGGACCACAAUAUGGGUCCGGACUUUUCAAUUCUUUGGAUUGGGCAAGACCCCUAGGGUUUUUAAAUUCUCUCUUGAUCCAAUUGGCCAAGAUCUCUAGGAUUUUUAAAUUGUCUAUGGAAUUGGGCAAGAUCGGGGCCUGUGUGGGCCUUGGUUUUUAAAUUGGAUCCCCCAGUUGAAUAAGCACACACACCCCAGGACACCCCACAGUAAAUUGGGCAAGACACCAUUGUUUUUAAAUUCCAUGUAUGGACAGGUUCAUGCAGCUAGAAUGCAGUUGAAUCUUUGAUUGGGCAAGACAAUGGGUGUUUUUAAAUUCUGCAAGGGCAUUGUAGACAUACUUUUCAGCGGGGGAUGGAGUGAGACAUUUGGAUUGAUUGUCUGAUGCCACGCCUCUUUUAAUUGAGUGGUCUCCUAGGAAGACGAUAGCUAAAACAAGAUAAGCAUGGUUUUGUAAUUGCGCAUGACUGCAGGUGUCUAUUUUAUUCCUGGUUAGUGUGUUAGGGGUUCCGUAGUUAUUUAAGUUUGUUUCCCUCUCCCCCGCUAAAAAAACAAAAGAAAAAAUAUUUAAGAUGAAACCCAAGAAAUGCCGAGUAGUGGGAAACGCAUCUUGCGGUCCCUCUCUUAUGGCACAAGGGAUAUUCCCACAAUCCUAGACUAGAUUGGGCAAGGUUAGGAACACAAUAUGGGUCUGGACUUUUCAAUUCUUUGGAUUGGGCAAGACCCCUAGGGUUUUUUAAUUCUCUCUUGAUCCAAUUGGCCAAGAUCUCUAGGAUUUUUAAAUUGUCUAUGGAAUUGGGCAAGAUCGGGGCCUGUGUGGGCCUUGGUUUUUAAAUUGGAUCCCCCAGUUGAAUAAGCACACACACCCCAGGACACCCCACAGUGAAUUGGGCAAGACACUAUUGUUUUUAAAUUCCAUGUAUGGACAGGUUCAUGCAGCUAGAAUGCAGUUGAAUCUUUGAUUGGGCAAGACAAUGGGUGUUUUUAAAUUCUGCAAGGGCAUUGUAGACAUACUUUUCAGCGGGGGAUGGAGUGAAACAUUUGGAUUGAUUGUCUGAUGCCACGCCUCUUUUAAUUGAGUGGUCUCCUAGGAAGACGAUAGCUAAAACAAGAUAAGCAUGGUUUUGUAAUUGCGCAUUACUGCGUGUGUCUAUUUUCCCCCGUUUAGUGUGUUAGGGGUUCCAUACUUAUUUAAGUUUGUUUCCCUCUCCACCGCAAAAAAAACAAAAGAAAAAAUAUUUAAGAUGAAACCCAAGAAAUGCCGAGUAGUGGGAAACGCAUCUUGUUGUGCCUCUGUUAUGGCAAAAGGGAUAUUCCCAGAAUCCUAGACUAGAUUGGGAAAGGUUAGGACCACAAUAUGGGUCCGGACGUUUCAAUUCUUUCGAUUGGGCAAGACCCCUAGGGUUUUUAAAUUCCUUCUUGAUCCAAUUGGCCAAGAUCUCUAGGAUUUUUAAAUUGUCUAUGGAAUUGGGCAAGAUCGGGGCCUGUGUGGGCCUUGGUUUUUAAAUUGGAUCCCCCAGUUGAAGAAGCACACACACCCCAGGACACCCCACAGUGAAUUGGGCAAGACACUAUUGUUUUUAAAUUCCAUGUAUGGACAGGUUCAUGCAGCUAGGAUGCAGUUGAAUCUUUGAUUGGGCAAGACAAUGGGUGUUUUUAAAUUCUGCAAGGGCAUUGUAGACAUACUUUUCAGCGGGGGAUGGAGUGAGACAUUUGGAUUGACUGUCUGAUGCCAUGCCUCUUUUAAUUGAGUGGUCUCCUAGGAAGACGAUAGCUAAAACAAGAUAAGCAUGGUUUUGUAAUUGUGCAUGACUGCGUGUGUCUAUUUUAUUCCCGGUUAGUGUGUUAGGGGUUCCGUAAUUAUUUAAGUUAGUUUCCCUCUACACGGCAAAGAAAACAAAAGGAAAAAUAUUUAAGAUUAAACCCAAGAAAUGCUGAGCACUGGGAAACGCAUCUUGCGGUCCCUCUCUUAUGGCACAAGGGAUAUUCCCAGAAUCCCAGAAUAGAUUGGGCAAGGUUAGGACAACAAUAUGGGUCCGGACUUUUCAAUUCUUUCGAUUGGGCAAGAGCCCUAGGGUUUUUAAAUUCUCUCUUGAUCCAAUUGGCCAAGAUCUCUAGGAUUUUUAAAUUGUCUAUGAAAUUGGGCAAGAUCGGGGCCUGUGUGGGCCUUGGUUUUUAAAUUGGAUCCCCCAGUUGAAUAAGCACAAACACCCCAGGACACCCCACAUUGAAUUGGGCAAGACACCAUUGUUUUUAAAUUCCAUGUAUGGACAGGUUCAUGCAGCUAGAAUGCAGUUGAAUCUUUGAUUGGGCAAGACAAUGGGUGUUUUUAAAUUCUGCAAGGGCAUUGUAGACAGACUUUUCAGCGGGGGAUGGAGUGAGACAUUUGGAUUGACUGUCUGAUGCCACGCCUCUUUUAAUUCAGUGUUCUCCUAGGAAGACGAUAGCUAAAACAAGAUAAGCAUGGUUUUGUAAUUGCGCAUGACUGUGUGUGUCUAUUUUCCCCCGGUUAGUGUGUUAGGGGUUCCAUAGUUAUUUAAGUUUGUUUCCCUCUCCCCCGCUAAAAAAACAAAGAAAAAAUAUUUAAAAUGAAACCCAAGAAAUGCCGAGCAGUGGGAAACGCAUCUUGUUGUGCCUCUGUUAUGGCAAAAGGGAUAUUCCCAGAAUCCUAGACUAGAUUGGGCAAGGUUAGGACCACAAUAUGGGUCUGGACUUUUCAAUUCUUUGGAUUGGGCAAGACCCCUAGGGUUUUUAAAUUCUCUCUUGAUCCAAUUGGCCAAGAUCUCUAGGAUUUUUAAAUUGUCUAUGGAAUUGGGCAAGAUCGGGGCCUGUGUGGGCCUUGGUUUUUAAAUUGGAUCCCCCAGUUGAAUAAGCACACACACCCCAGGACACCCCACAGUGAAUUGGGCAAGACACUAUUGUUUUUAAAUUCCAUGUAUGGACAGGUUCAUGCAGCUAGAAUGCAGUUGAAUCUUUGAUUGGGCAAGACAAUGGGUGUUUUUAAAUUCUGCAAGGGCAUUGUAGACAUACUUUUCAGCGGGGGAUGGAGUGAAACAUUUGGAUUGAUUGUCUGAUGCCACGCCUCUUUUAAUUGAGUGGUCUCCUAGGAAGACGAUAGCUAAAACAAGAUAAGCAUGGUUUUGUAAUUGCGCAUGACUGCGUGUGUCUAUUUUCCCCCGGUUAGUGUGUUAGGGGUUCCAUACUUAUUUAAGUUUGUUUCCCUCUCCCCCGCUAAAAAAACAAAAGAAAAAAUAUUUAAGACGAAACCCAAGAAAUGCCGAGUAGUGGGAAACGCAUCUUGUUGUGCCUCUGUUAUGGCAAAAGGGAUAUUCCCAGAAUCCUAGACUAGAUUGGGCAAGGUUAGGAACACAAUAUGGGUCCGGAUGUUUCAAUUCUUUCGAUUGGGCAGGACCCCUAGGGUUUUUAAAUUCCUUCUAGAUCCAAUUGGCCAAGAUCUCUAGGAUUUUUAAAUUGUCUAUGGAAUUGGGCAAGAUCGGGGCCUGUGUGGGCCUUGGUUUUUAAAUUGGAUCCCCCAGUUGAAUAAGCACACACACCCCAGGACACCCCACAGUGAAUUGGGCAAGACACUAUAGGUUUUUAAAUUCCAUGUAUGGACAGGUUCAUGCAGCUAGGAUGCAGUUGAAUCUUUGAUUGGGCAAGACAAUGGGUGUUUUUAAAUUCUGCAAGGGCAUUGUAGACAUACUUUUCAGCGGGGGAUGGAGUGAGACAUUUGCAUUGACUGUCUGAUGCCAUGCCUCUUUUAAUUGAGUGGUCUCCUAGGAAGACGAUAGCUAAAACAAGAUAAGCAUGGUUUUGUAAUUGCGCAUGACUGCGUGUGUCUAUUUUAUUCCCGGUUAGUGUGUUAGGGGUUCCGUAAUUAUUUAAGUUAGUUUCCCUCUACACGGCAAAGAAAACAAAAGAAAAAAUAUUUAAGAUGAAACCCAAGAAAUGCCGAGCAGUGGGAAACGCAUCUUGUUGUGCCUCUGUUAUGGCAAAACGGAUAUUCCCAGAAUCCUAGACUAGAUUCGGCAAGGUUAGGACCACAAUAUGGGUUCGGACUUUUCAAUUCUUUCGAUUGGGCAAGACCCCUAGGGUUUUUAAAUUCUCUCUUGAUCCAAUUGGCCAAAAUCUCUAGGAUUUUUAAAUUGUCUAUGGAAUUGGGCAAGAUCGGGCCUGUGUGGGCCUUGGUUUUUAAAUUGGAUCCCCCAGUUGAACAAGCACACACACCCCAGGACACCCCACAGUGAAUUGGGCAAGACACCAUUGUUUUUAAAUUCCAUGUAUGGACAGGUUCAUGCAGCUAGAAUGCAGUUGAAUCUUUGAUUGGGCAAUACAAUGGGUGUUUUUAAAUUCUGCAAGGGCAUUGUAGACAGACUUUUCAGCGGGGGAUGGAGUGAGACAUUUGGAUUGACUGUCUGAUGCCACGCCUCUCUUAAUUGAGUGGUCUCCUAGGAAGACGAUAGCUAAAACAAGAUAAGCAUGGUUUUGUAAUUGCGCAUGGCUGCGUGUGUCUAUUUUAUUCCCGGUUAGUGUGUUAGGGGUUCCAUAGUUAUUUAAGUUUGUUUCCCUCUACACAGCUAAGAAAACAAAAUGAAAAAUAUUUAAGAUUAAACCCAAGAAAUGCUGAGCACUGGGAAACGCAUCUUGCGGUCCCUCUCUUAUGGCACAAGGGAUAUUCCCAGAAUCCCAGAAUAGAUUGGGCAAGGUUAGGACAACAAUAUGGGUCUGGACUUUUCAAUUCUUUCGAUUGGGCAAGACCCCUAGGGUUUUUAAAUUCCUUCUUGAUCCAAUUGGCCAAGAUCUCUAGGAUUUUUAAAUUGUCUAUGGAAUUGGGCAAGGUCGGGGCCUGUGUGGGCCUUGGUUUUUAAAUUGGAUCCCCCAGUUGAAUAAGCACACACACCCCAGGACACCCCACAUUGAAUUGGGCAAGACACCAUUGUUUUUAAAUUCCAUGUAUGGACAGGUUCAUGCAGCUAGAAUGCAGUUGAAUCUUUGAUUGGGCAAGACAAUGGGUGUUUUAAAAUUCUGCAAGGGCAUUGUAGACAUACUUUUCAGCGGCGGAUGGAGUGAAACAUUUGGAUUGAUUGUCUGAUGCCACGCCUCUUUUAAUUCAGUGGUCUCCUAGGAAGACGAUAGCUAAAACAAGAUAAGCAUGGUUUUGUAAUUGCGCAUGACUGCGUGUGUCUAUUUUAUUCCUGGUUAGUGUGUUAGGGGUUCCAUAGUUAUUUAAGUUUGUUUCCCUCUCCCCCGCUAAAUAAACAAAAGAAAAAAUAUUUAAGACGAAACCCAAGAAAUGCCGAGUAGUGGGAAACGCAUCUUGUUGUGCCUCUGUUAUGGCAAAAGGGAUAUUCCCAGAAUCCUAGACUAGAUUGGGCAAGGUUAGGACCACAAUAUGGGUCCGGACUUUUCAAUUCUUUCGAUUGGGCAAGAGCCCUAGGGUUUUCAAAUUCUCUCUUGAUCCAAUUGGCCAAGAUCUCUAGGAUUUUUAAAUUGUCUAUGGAAUUGGGCAAGAUCGGGCCUGUGUGGGCCUUGGUUUUUAAAUUGGAUCCCCCAGUUGAACAAGCACACACACCCCAGGACACCCCACAGUGAAUUGGGCAAGACACCAUUGUUUUUAAAUUCCAUGUAUGGACAGGUUCAUGCAGCUAGAAUGCAGUUGAAUCUUUGAUUGGGCAAGACAAUGGGUGUUUUUAAAUUCUGCAAGGGCAUUGUAGACAGACUUUUCAGCGGGGGAUGGAGUGAGACAUUUGGAUUGACUGUCUGAUGCCACGCCUCUUUUAAUUGAGUGGUCUCCUAGGAAGACGAUAGCUAAAACAAGAUAAGCAUGGUUUUGUAAUUGCGCAUGACUGCGUGUGUCUAUUUUAUUCCCGGUUAGUGUGUUAGGGGUUCCUUAAUUAUUUAAGUUAGUUUCCCUCUCCACCGCUAAGAAAACAAAAGGAAAAAUAUUUAAGAUUAAACCCAAGAAAUGCCGAGUAGUGGGAAACGCAUCCUGCGGUCCCUCUCUUAUGGCACAAGGGAUAUUUCCAGAAUCCUAGAGUAGAUUGGGCAAGGUUAGGACCACAAUAUUGGUCUGGACUUUUCAAUUCUUUGGAUUGGGCAAGACGCCUAGGGUUUUUAAAUUCUCUCUUGAUCCAAUUGGCCAAGAUCUCUAGGAUUUUUAAAUUGUCUAUUAAAUUGGGCAUGAUCGGGACCUGUGUGGGCCUUGGUUUUUAAAUUGGAUCCCCCAGUUGAAUAAGCACACACACCCCAGGAUUCCCCACAGUGAAUUGGGCAAGACACCAUUGUUUUUAAAUUCCAUGUAUGGACAGGUUCAUGUAGCUAGAAUGCAGUUGAAUCUUUGAUUGGGCAAGACAAUGGGUGUUUUUAAAUUCUGCAAGGUUAUUGUAGACAUACUUUUCAGCAGGGGAUGGAGUGAGUCAUUUGGAUUGACUUUCUGUUGCCAUGCCUCUUUUAAUUCAGUGGUCGCCUAGGAAGAUGAUAGCUAAAACAAGAUAAGCAUAGGUUUGUCUGUUUAUGUGAUAUGCUAUGUUUGUGGGUAUUGUAGACAUACUUUUCAAAUGGGUUGUUAGUGUUCCAUUUGUAUUAACUAUGUGAUGCCAUGCUUGUUUUUAUUCACUGUCCAUUUUGGAAGAUGAUAUCUAAUACUACAUAAGCGUUGUUUUGUUUCUGUUUUCCCCUUAUUGUUUUUAUGUAAUGUUUUCAUAGCUGUUUAGUUUUGUUUCCCUCUCCCUUUAUAACUUUGUGUAUGGAUAUCUAAGAUACAGCAGAGCUCCUUUGUCAAUAUACCCUUGUUUUCAAAUCUGAUGUUUGUACAAUUCAUUUUUGUUUAUUUUAAUCGCAUGGACUCUAAAUCUCAAAUUAACCACUUGGGCAUGACAAUUGUUGUGUUUAAAUUCUAGAAUGUCAUUGUAUAUACACUUUUAAAACAGAGAUUUAAUGAUAACCUUUUUUUAACCCCAGUUUUUCUCAUGCUCUAUAUAAGGUUUCAUCCAAGGAAACCUCGUAUUAUAUUUCUGUGUUUGUUCUUGUGGCAUAUCAUCAUUGUCAUAUGUUACAUAUCCCAAGUGUUGUGUGGCCCAUUAGUAGAUGUGUAUGUUCUGAGUUCACUUAUGCUUAUCUUGAAUCCUUUUUCUUUACUUUCAAAGAAAAGCAUUGGUUUUGCAUUUUGAGCUUAAUAUCUUUUUUUUGUUGUUGGUAACGUGCAAGCCAUCCACUUGAAUCCUCUCACAUGCUAGUUUAUGAACUGCUUGUGUAAUGAAACGGCUUUGAUAACUGUCUUGACUGAGGAACUCUUUUAACCAGCAACAUAGGUAGACAUUGUGCUGUCCAAUUCCAAGUUGCUAUUUUGCAAAAGGAUUGAGUUAUAUCAGAACCUUUUGUUUGUGUUGAAGAUGAUGUUUAGCAUUUUAGCCAUCAAGACACUUCAAACACUCAUUGAGAGAACUGCUGGUAUGAAAAAUUGAUAACAGAGUGGAAUGUAACAACUUAAUGAAAGGAAGGACUCCAACUACUGAAAUACGGUUGGGGGCCAAUGGUGAUGAUGGGGUGAAUAACUUGGCCGGCUUGGAUGCAGCAUCUGCACUUAGCUUCUUCCAAACCAGAUGCCAAUUUCUAAUGAAACUCAGGCAAUCGUACAUUGCUCAGUGACUCUUUUGCACAGGUUGGGAGUAUAACAAGAAGAAGGCUAGAAGAUUUUGCCUAAGUAGUUUACAAUCUGCUAACAACAGAAUCAACCCUUUUAUCAUUUUGAUUUCUCUCUUCUGCACUCUUUGCCAUCUGCUGGUUGGAACUAUACACCAUAUUUUAAAUGUGGCUACCCCAUAGACAUAUCUAUAUACUGCUUUGAAUUUUUAAAAAAACAUUCUUCUAGCUAUGUCAAUUGCUUUAAGAACAUCUUAAGGGUCAAACACUGGAAUAAUAAUCCAUAUAUAUUAAUAGCAUUCUAACACUUCUAGAAAUCUAUAUAGGUACAUUUUGACAUUUUAAUAUUUCAGAGUUCUUAAUACAGUAAUGUGAAUACACUGAAUAUUUUUUGAGCACUUUCUAAUGUGAUUUCUGUUUUAAUUCCAUUACCUCUGAGGAAGAUUAUAGCUACAAACAAGGUAAGCAUAUGUGUGUAUGUGUAAAUAAUUUCAUAGUUCUUCAGGUUUGUUUCCCUCUCCCCCCGUUUAAAACAACAACAACAAAAACAUUUAAGACAAAACCCAAGAAAUGCUGAGCAGUAGCAAACAAAUCUUGGGGUGCUUCUGUUAUAGCUCAAGGGAUAUUCCCAGAAUCCAGACUAGAUUGGGCAAGGUUAGGACCACAAUAUAGGUCUGGACUUUUCAAUUCGAUUGGUAACCCCUUUAGGGACCAAUUGUCUUGAUCUAAUCGGCCAAACUCUCUAGGAUUUUUAGAUUGUAUAUGGAAUUGGGCAAGACUGGGACCUGUGUGAGUCUUGAUUUUUAAAUUGGAUCCCCCAGUUGACGAAACACAAACAUCCCAGGAUACCCCAGAGUGAAUUGGGGAAGACACCAUUGUUUUUAUUUCAUGUAUGGACAGGUUCAUGCAUAGGGAAUGCAGUUCCAUAUGCUUUGAGUCUCUGAUGGUUGAAUUGGGCAAGACAAUGGGUGUUUUUAAAUUCUGUAAGGGCAUUGUAGUCAUACUUUUCACCGGGGGAUGUAGUGUUUACGUUUGGCUUGACCCAUAUUUUUUCAGGUUUUAGAGAAGUACUUAACCAAGGAGAUAAUUUAAAUAUGUCUUAUAUGUCUGUCUUUGUGCCCUAUCCUAAGUUUUAUGUGUCAAGUGUAGUGGAGCUCAAGAGCAAAGAUAUGUGAUGGAUUAAUUUGGGCAUUUCAGAUCAUAAUUUUUAAUGGUUUUAAAAUUAUGUAGAAAAUAUAACUCACCCUGAAAAAUAAGCAUUAUUUUUAAAUGUAGAUCUCACUAUUUUGACUAUUUUAGUUGAUAGAAUGCGAUACUUUCACAGCAAAUCACUAUACGAUCAUGUCAUAAAAUUGUUUGUGAACUAUGUUCGAGUAAAAUAUUUCAAAGAAAAUUGUACUGUCAGCAAUUGAAGUGCCUGCAACUAUUUCAGAGAAAAUCAUGUGGUUCAAUUUUAAUGUGGUAUUUUAUGAAAAAUUGAUUUGUAUAUGGAAUCUUGUGUUUGUACUGAAGAUAUUUUAGCAUUUUGGUCCUCAAGGUCCUCAAAUAGUUUAUUUAAGAACUUCCAUUAUGAGAAAUAGACAGUGGUUUGAAUGGAGUUGAAUUUAAUGGCUUAAUUCAAGGAAGGCAGAUUCCAAAAAGGCUGAGCUCCCCUGUGUUGUUUUCCCUGCUUUAACCAGAAUGAGGGGUAGAAAAGGAUUGGCUCUCAGGUGCACAAAAUCAACAACUUGAGGUAAGAGGCUUAAGUGGAAUUCGUGGAGCAUGUAAAUUUGGGAAGGAUUGCAAACAAUCGCAAGGAGAGAUGAAAUAUUUUGAAUGAUUUGAUCAAAACAGAAUGAUAAAUGCUCUAACACAAGUUUGCAUUUUACCAUUUUCACUUUGCAUGUAUCAUUUGGACCUUGCUGAAUUACAACCCUUUCCACCAACCUCUGAAAUGGCUCCCCUGUCUUAAAAGGUAGAAAGGUGGUAACCUGGAAAGUAUCAGAUGUGUGUUUUCGAGAUACUUACACACACAGACCCAGGUCUUUGAGGCUUGAAGAAAAAUGUGAGUACUAUGCUCUCAGGUAUGUGUUUCAUGGUCAGGUGUGGGCAGCAGUACUUGAGACCAGGACUGAACAGAAACAUUUUCAGGUAUCUAGCUUGUCUAGAUCUCAGCCUCUGGCCAUAAGGCUCUCCUUUCCAACUCUGCAUCCUCUGACAAUCUGACAAUUCCUUGGACAAUGGUCCAAGGAAUACUAAUGCAUGCACCUUUGAAUAUGAUGCACAGAUGGGACCUCAAGGAGAGCAUUCCUUGUGGGUGUUGAGGGCUGUAGCGGACUCUCUGAGUGGAGCCUGUCCUUUAGAUGUAUUAGAACUGGACCUUCAUGUUUCUCCUUCAAAUGAAUCCCUCACAGACUCCACAGUAAUGACUUGUGGGAUCCAGCAGUGAAGGACCUUAUUUCUGCCUUGAAGCAUCUGGAGUGUCAACUGGAGAUCCUGAGGUAUGUUUUGUGCAGCUGAUGCAAGUAGCAGACCACUCCUUGGGGAAUCCUGAUUGGGUCUGUGUUGGAGCCAAAGCAAAUGUGGGAGAAGGAAUUCUCCAGGAAAUUCUCGUAACUCAAACUGACUUGUAUACAUGUGUAAUUGUGUGUUUUCUUUUCAAGGCAUUUCAAACAGUUGUGGAUACUGUUACAUGCUAGGUUGUGAAGAAUAAACGUGAGUUGAAUUUGGCAAAGGUAUGCUUUAGCAGGGCUUCAAGAUUAACUGAAGCAUUUAGAUCGACUUGAAUGGAACCCUAACCAGGUAGCAGAAUUUAAGUUGUACUGUUUUUAAUACAAGCAUCUGUAGAAACUGUCAAGGGCAAAGGUCAGUUUAGUAGGGGGAUUUCCCUGAGCAUGUCUAGGCAUUUCAGUAAUUACAGUAUUUAAUAAUUCAGUUCCACAGACAAUCAAGCAGAGGCUUAUGCACAGCUGAUGGUUGCCAGGAGAGAAGAAGAGGCAGAAGUGAGAAGAGGCAACCAUGCAAGCAAAAGAUGCUCCUCCCUCCAAAUACUGGAACCUCUUGUAGAUAUGUGGAGCAUGAGGACUAGAACCUUCUUCUUCUUUUAAGGUGGGAUGCUCAAGGAUACAGAUUACUUUCCAUCUCUCUACCCAUUUCAUUUUUUGCCUCUUUCUUCCUAGCUUGGUGAAGGAUCUGCUUUCCCAAUAGUGCUGUAAAGACUUGAGCUCAGCCCCCUUGGAGAACCAGUAUCUCUUGUGUCUUCACCUGAUGAAAAACAAGCUGCAAGACAGAGGCCUCAUUGAUUUACUGGAGGCGUCCAGCAAUCCAUGGUGCAGGAUACAGAAACAAGGCUGAAAUAAAUGGACCCACAUCCAGCGAUGGAACACAAGUUGAAAAAGUACAAGGGAAGAAGAGAAGGCCUCAAGACUGACUCCUAAGGAUCUCUCAGUGAAUUUCAUCCUCCCCAUGAUUCCAACAAAAGCAGCAAUAGACUAAGAUAAACCAGCUGCCUGUUCAGGACCACUGAAAGGGUUUGACUUCAGUGUGAUUAUAUAGUACAGGAAAGCUGGUUCUGAGGAGCAUGGACAUUGCAGCCGGUGAUACUCCCAAACUAUUUAUUGAAUUAAUACUUAGUGAGCUUUUCUGCCAUCUGCAUCUGAAGGAUGGGUGGGGGCUCUAUCAGGUUGCAUGGGGGCUCCCCAAAGUAUCUCCUGUCCUGCAAUGACUGAGCCACCUGGUGCUGGCUACUAACAUUUGGUUAACCUUAAUAUAUUGCUUCUCAGCAUGGAAGUGCUCCAAGUGGUUAAUGUAGCAAAAGGAAUUCUAUAACCAGAUGUUGGAGAUGGCACGUGCACCUGCUAAAACAGAAAACUAGCACAUCAGGGAUCAUGAAAACAUAAGAACAGCUCUGCUGGGUCAGGCCCAAGGCCUAUCUUGUCCAGCAUCCUGUUUCACACAGUGAAAUCCACCAGAUGCCUCUGGGGAGCCCACAGGCAAGAGGUAGGUGCAUGCCCUCUCUCCUGUUGUUGCUCCCCUGCAACUGGUAUUGAGAGACAUCAUGCCUCUGAGGCUGGAGGUGGUCCACAGCCACCAGAAUAGUAGCCAUUGAUAGACCUGUCCUCCAUGAAUUUGUCUAAGCCCCUUUUAAAGCCAUCCAAGCUGGUGGCCAUCACCACAUCCCAUGGCAAAGAAUUCUAUAGAUUAAUUAUGCAUGGUGUGAAAAAGUACUUCCUCUUUUGGCCCUAAAUUUCCUGACCUUCAGUUUCAUGGGGUGACCCCUGGUUCUAGUGUUGUGAGAGAAGGAGAAACAUUUCUCUCUGUCCACUCUCUCCACUCCAUGCAUAAUUUUAUACAUCUCAAUCAUGUCUCUUCUUAGUCACCUCUUUUCUAAACUAAAGUGUCCCAGGUGCUGUAGUCUUGCCUCAUAAGGAAGGUGCCGGAAUGGAAGCAUUUUGCUGCUGUUGAGUGGCUAAUCUGGAAAAUGCCCUGCAUCUUUUUUUAAAAAAACCUACAACCUUUGGUCCUGUAACCUAAUGUUUUUCAAAGAUGCUUAUAUGAACCAGAUGUUUCACAGGAUGUUCUAGGACCUAGAUUCACUUUUGCUUCUCAAACAUAAGGAUUAGUGAAGGAAGCUAACAAGGUUAAUCAUAAAUUCGAGUUAAAGUAACAAUAGUUCAAAGAAGAUGUAGUAAACAAAUGAGUGCAUGAUCACUGGUGUGCAUGUGUAUUAAGAAAGGACUGGAAUGCUGAUGUGUUUCUCCAAGUUAAGGUUUUGUAUAGCCAUGAGACAUUUUAGGAUUAAAAAGAAGAGAUCCAGAUCCAGAGUCAGGAUCCCUUUGGGCUUCCUCACUUGACUCUUUUCUUACUUUACAGUUUGUAAGUUAGGAAGCAGAAAGCUUGUUGAACUCUGCUCCUUGAAACUACCUUUCAUGAAACUAUGUGCAGGUAAUGCUAUGUUUUGACCUCUUAAGCUUUGUCGAUGCUGUAAUGCCUAUAUAUGCUGUACUAGAAGCUAGAGAAGUAGAUUAUUAUUUUUAUAGAUGUUUUUCUCUCGAGUAUUUAUCUUUAAAUAUUGUCAUCACAACACCCUCAUGAGGAACAUGAACCCAUGUGUGGUGUAAUUCCUGGACUGUAGCCUUGUGCACAAGAGUUUCCUGAUAUAUCUUAUGGCUAGUCUAAAUCCUGGGGUUUAAAGUGUUCUCCCCCAGCAAAGGGGCCGCCAAAUGGCUGGAGGGCUUCUUGCAGCCUCCCCAUGCCCGCCAAGCUGCUGCCCUGGUCUGCCAAACCUACAGCUGCGCGGCUGAGGGGUAGCUAUCAGGGGGUGAGCUGAGCAGUCCUCCCGCCACGACAUCAUGGACUUGCAACGAUCUUUCUCAACUGCGCAGGCAUGCCACGCAGUUAGCAAGAGCCACUGGGCUGAAUGAACAGGCCCAGUGGUUGCUCCGGCCACCCCCUGGCAGCCACCCCUUGGCGGCUGAAAUCAAAGGAAAAAAACCAAGGUUUGGCACAGCAGGAGGCCCCCAAAAGUAGGUUUUGGGGGCUUCGGGGGGGGCUUGCAGCAGGGGUGGUCCGGGCACCAAAUUUACCUAGGUGCGCUCCUGUCCCCCAGAGGCAACCGCAGCAACUCCAUGUUGUACUGAGCCUAUGCUAUAUAGCUUUGUGUUGUUGUUUUAUCUCAUUUAUAUAUUAUUUGUGUCUCUUAUAUAACAUCUUCUAUAACAUGUCUCUUAUAUAACAUACAUAUUUAUGUAUUAUUUUUCUAUAUAAACCACUAUGUAAACCGCUUUGAGAAUUUUGUUGAAGAACGGUAUAUAAAUAUUCAUAGUAGUAGUAGUAGUAGUAGUAGUAGUAGUAGUUUAAGACUUGUUAUAUUUUGUUUACUAUACGCUGUUUAGGGAUGCUUUGUUAUUGAAAAACAGGAUGGAUGUGUUCAUUUCCAACUCUACAUCUGUCUGGCCCAGCUACUAUAAGUGGGCCAUGUAGUAUUUUUGGUUAAUCCAUUCCUUGAUCCAAGCCAGCUUUGGAAUGGGGCUAUAGUUACUUAUAUUCCACUCCUGGAGUAAACCUGAGGCUAAUAAACAGCCAGAAGCAAGAGCACUGAAAAGCAGUUUGCACUUGUGACUUACCUCUCUGUACAUAAUAUCUAUUUCAUUAAACAAUUACUGUUUCUGAUU